UGAGGAAUAUUCCGCAAUGGGCUAGUAGCCUGACGGAGCAAUGCCGAGUGGAGGAAGAAUGCCUUAGGGUUGUAAUCUCCUUUUCUCAUUGAAGAAUAUAUGACGGUAUUUGAGGAAUAAGGACCGGCUAAUUCUGUGCCAGCAGCCGCGGUAAUACAGGGGGUCCAAGGGUUAUCCGGAAUUAUUGGGCGUAAAGGGUGCGUAUGUUGUUAAGAAAGUUUAAUAUUAAAUUUAAAUGCUUAACAUUUAUAAGGUAUUAAAAACUGUUUAACUUGAGUAUGUUAAAGAUAAAGGGAAUUUCCAGUGUAGCGGUGAAAUGCGUAGAUAUUGGAAAGAACACCAAUGGCGAAGGCACUUUAUUGGGACAAUACUGACGCUGAGGCACGAAAGCUAAGGUAAUCAAUG
rnacentral:rRNA from 1 species